UCCAUUCAAAAUAGGCAUUUUAAUAAACGAUUGGUGGGGUAUUUUGAGAUGAAACUUCACAGACACAUACUGGGGACACCUGAUCAACUGCAAAGGUUUCCAAACAGGCUGCUAACUAAAGUAGAGCUUUUGUUAAAUAAAACGUGGAAUUGCUUUAAUUACAUUUUUAAAUUAGGAUUCUUUUUUAUGAAGUGUUACUUUGUUCCACACACAAGUCAGUCACAUCGAGAGAUUUUUAGUGUGCCGCUGCGCCUGUAAUGAGAUACAGAUGCUUGUGCCAAACUACCUGUGCCCCGGCCGCCCACCGCAUCUCCUCUCCGAGCAUCUCUUCAAAUCCCGAAAUCAGCCAAAUGACUCUGGGGGGUCCAGACUUCAACUGUGAGCAUUAGCCUUUGAAUAAACAAUUACCGAAGCGCGGCCUCCACAGCCUUUCUGGACAAUGAUGGCGCGAUAAUGAUGCUCCAUGCUUCCAUGCCAUUUCCUAGUAUUUCAACAGCGCCACAUCCUCUCCAGCAAUCCCUGUUUCCAUGCCAACCGCAUCCUCCGUCCUCCUGCCUGCAACUCCGCAGAACAAUAAACACAAAAAGGGCUGAUUAUGGAUUUCAUAGCCAUCACACCUGUAUUGAUCCUGUUUGUCUUUUUGAAGUGAUGGAAGAUGAUAAUGUACGGCGACUCGGACGGCGUGUCCUCCGCCUGAGCCUGCGUGUCGGUGAUGGAGGUGUCCCGUUGAAGCUUUGAUGCAAGAUCUUGACAGCCGUAGUGACCGGCGCAUUGAUCGAGUCAUUAACAGGAGGGGGAGAACAAUGGCUUGGCGAGAUGUUCUUGAUCCUGAAGUUGAUUUUAGAAGACUUGGAAUGCAGCGGAUAAACAGAUUUUAUGCUGACCAAAGUUACUCCCAGAACAGACUUUUGGUGGGAAGCCUGGGAACGAAACAGAAGCCAUUCGCCUCAUUAGAAGUCAGCGUGCCAUCUAAAUAAUUUGGAAACUGAAAUUUCAAGGUAAAAUACAUCGCAGCAAAUGAACUCAUCUAUCUCCAAAUAUCUUGUGCACUCCGUUCACGUAAAUCUUUCAUUAGCCAGAUAAGAAAACGAAAAGGGGGUGGAAAAUCCAACUCUAACAUUAAUUCCCAUGUUCUGUAGUUAGCAGCUGUGCGUGAUUAGAGCCGAGUGUGUCGUGCCCUCUUGACCCUCCUUGUUUUUAGACGAAUUAACGGCGACACGCCUCUGUGCCUGCUUUACUCAUCAUCUUCAUUCAAGCUCACCGCUCUCCCAGCCUGUCCUGCGGUAGCGUAAUAAUGAUUUACAUGAGUGAGUUAUCAGUAUGUGAGGAUUAAAUGACACAUGCUGUAGAGAGUUUUAUUGGCAAGGAGAUAAAAUCAGUGAGGAUAAUGUAGUUUGGACAUGAAAUGUGCCAGAAUUAGCCGUACAAAAUAAGACACGGCAGAGUGGACUGUCAAAAUGCCAUGAAAUGACUGAUAUUUACACACAUUUGGGAUUUGGGCUUUUUCUCAAAGAUAAACUUUGCUAAUUAGGGGCUGGGAAAGUUUUGUAAAUGCUUUAGAAAAGAAUCGCUGGUACAAUAAGUUUACAAUGUGGGUACACAAAUAUGCACUAAUUCUUGCUUAACUAACGCACAAGUAAUCGCAAGUAAAUGGACUAAACCAUUUAUCACUACUACAUCAGCAGGGGUCGUCGCUAGUGAGGUGAAAAGGGUGACAUAGGGCCCAGAUGUCUGGCGGCCCAUAAUCGCCUGCUGGCCAUAGGGGACACCGGGACAUUCCAUUCGAGUUAUUAAGCGCUGUUUUUAAACUACAUCACAUGCUAAACUGCAUAAAACAAGCUGAUGCUGUAUGAAAAUGAGGACCAUGGUUUUACUUCUUAUGACCACCAUCUUAAUACUAGUCAGUUAAACUCUGAAUACUUCUUUCUUUUUAGAUUUUUAGUUUGAAUGACUUUUUAUUGACGCGAACUGUUAAUUCAGUAAGGGCCUGAUUAAAGAAAGAUAUCGGUGUCUUAAAUAAAUUAGGUGUUCUUAAAGGGAGAUAUACCGAAAAAAAUGAAUAUUGUCAACAUUUACUUGACAUUAAGUCUUUCCAAACCUGUUUGAAUUUCUUUCUCCUGUGGAACACAAUUUGAGAGACAUUUUGAAAAUUUUUGUAGCAUUCUACAAAAUAUCUUUAGUGUUCCACAAAAGAAAGUCAUGAGGGUGAGGAAAUGAUGACAGAAUUUAUUAGCAGUAACUUUCCAGCAGUCUAGCUCGAAAUCAAUGCUUUGCUGUCAAGUGCUUUUCUGUGACAGAAAUGCAUUAUGAAGUUUGUUGUAUUUGCUGUGAACUCAGUAAUAUCUAUCAGUAUUCACUUCUGUCCUAUUUAUUUAUUUUUUUCAUUUAUUUACUCCAGUUGAAGGCCCUAUUACACAUUAAAACAUUCAAGGGGGAAUUUGUGGGCUAGAUGGGCUUGAUAUGUUGAAUUUAAUUUUGAGAAUACGGCCCUGUAUAUCAGCAACUAAUGAACAUUACGUGAUUCAUAGAUUAAGUAAUAAAUAAAUGUGUCAUGAAGUAUUCGUUCCCUAAUUACAUAAAUUCAUACGUUAAUUACCACAGUGGUCAAAUCAACAAUUUAAUUAAUUAUUAGCUAAUGAUUUGCAAAGGUAUCAUUAUGUUAUGACUUCACUUGUUGAGGCACAGAACUAUGAACUAAUUGUUCAGUAAUAAGUCA